CCGACGAUGUUCUCGGACAGACCUCUUUUUUUUCGAAGACCGUCGGCGACGCUAUAGCUUUGGGUACUUUCAGGACCCGUCUUGAAACACGGACCAAGGAGUCUAGCAUGUACGCGAGUCAUUGGGAAUCACUAAACCUAAAGGCGUAAUGAAAGUGAAGAUCUUCCUCGCGAAGGUCGAGGGAAGACGGGCGUACGGACGUUCGCGCGUCCGCGUCCUGCAUUCCCGGGGCGUCUCGUUCACAUCGCGUGAAGAGGCGCACCAAGAGCGUACACGCUGGGACCCGAAAGAUGGUGAACUAUGCCUGGUCAGGACGAAGUCAGGGGAAACCCUGAUGGAGGUCCGUAGCGAUUCU
rnacentral:rRNA from 1 species